UCUUUGACCUCGGAUCAGGUAGGGAUACCCGCUGAACUUAAGCAUAUCAAUAAGCGGAGGAAAAGAAACCAACAGGGAUUGCCCUAGUAACGGCGAGUGAAGCGGCAACAGCUCAAAUUUGAAAUCUGGCUCUCUUUGGGGGUCCGAGUUGUAAUUUGCAGAGGAUGCUUUGGCAUUGGCGGCGGUCUAAGUUCCUUGGAACAGGACAUCGCAGAGGGUGAGAAUCCCGUACGUGGGCGCCUGCCUUUGCCGUGUAAAGCUCCUUCGACGAGUCGUGUUGUUUGGGAAUGCAGCUCUAAAUGGGAGGUAAAUUUCUUCUAAAGCUAAAUACCGGCCAGAGACCGAUAGCGCACAAGUAGAGUGAUCGAAAGAUGAAAAGUACUUUGGAAAGAGAGUCAAAAAGCACGUGAAAUUGUUGAAAGGGAAGCGCUUGCAGCCAGACUUGCCCGCAGUUGCUCACCUAGGCUUUGGCCUGGGGCACUCUUCUGCGGGCAGGCCAGCAUCAGUUUGGGCGGUCGGACAAAGGCCUCUGUCAAGUAUCUCCCUUCGGGGUGACCUUAUAGGGGAGGCGUAAUGCGACCAGCCCGGACUGAGGUCCGCGCAUCUGCUAGGAUGCUGGCGUAAUGGCUGUAAGCGGCCCGUCUUGAAACACGGACCAAGGAGUCUAACAUUUAUGCGAGUGUUUGGGUGUCAAGCCCGGGCGCGCAAUGAAAGUGAACGGAGGUGGGAACCCUUUGGGUGCACCAUCGACCGAUCCUGAUGUCUUCGGAUGGAUUUGAGUAAGAGCAUAGCUGUUGGGACCCGAAAGAUGGUGAACUAUGCUUGAAUAGGGUGAAGCCAGAGGAAACUCUGGUGGAGGCUCGCAGCGGUUCUGACGUGCAAAUCGAUCGUCAAAUUUGGGCAUAGGGGCGAAAGACUAAUCGAACCAUCUAGUAGCUGGUUCCUGCCGAAGUUUCCCUCAGGAUAGCAGUAACGUUUUCAGUUUUUAUGAGGUAAAGCGAAUGAUUAGAGGCAUGGGGGUUGAAACAACCUUCACCUAUUCUCAACUUUAAAUAUGUAAGAA
rnacentral:rRNA from 1 species